UACGUAGGGUGCGAGCGUUGUCCGGAAUUAUUGGGCGUAAAGGGCUCGUAGGCGGUUUGUCGCGUCGGGAGUGAAAUCCACUGGCUUAACUGGUGGCUUGCUUUCGAUACGGGCAGACUGGAGGUAUGCAGGGGAGAACGGAAUUCCUGGUGUAGCGGUGAAAUGCGCAGAUAUCAGGAGGAACACCCGUGGCGAAGGCGGUUCUCUGGGACGGUACUGACGCUGAGACGCGAAAGCGUGGGGAGCGAACAGG
rnacentral:rRNA from 1 species